rnacentral:rRNA from 1 species
GACGAACGCUGGCGGCGCGCCUAACACAUGCAAGUCGAACGAGCGAGAGAGAGCUUGCUUUCUCGAGCGAGUGGCGAACGGGUGAGUAACGCGUGAGGAACCUGCCUCAAAGAGGGGGACAACAGUUGGAAACGACUGCUAAUACCGCAUAAGCCCACGGGUCGGCAUCGACCAGAGGGAAAAGGAGCAAUCCGCUUUGAGAUGGCCUCGCGUCCGAUUAGCUAGUUGGUGAGGUAAUGGCCCACCAAGGCGACGAUCGGUAGCCGGACUGAGAGGUUGAACGGCCACAUUGGGACUGAGCCACGGCCCAGACUCCUACGGGAGGCAGCAGUGGGGAAUAUUGCACAAUGGGGGAAACCCUGAUGCAGCGACGCCGCGUGGAGGAAGAAGGUCUUCGGAUUGUAAACUCCUGUUGUUGGGGAAGAUAAUGACGGUACCCAACAAGGAAGUGACGGCUAACUACGU